rnacentral:rRNA from 1 species
UACAUGUGGGGCAAGCGUUGUUCGGAAUUACUGGGCAUAAAGGGUGCGUAGGUGGCUUGUUACGUCAGGGGUGAAAGUUUUCGGCCCAACCGGAAAAUGGCCUUUGAUACUGGCGAGCUCGAGUGCGUGAGGGGUAACCGGAACGAGCAGUGUAGCGGUGAAAUGCGUAGAUAUUGCUCGGAAGGCCAACGGCGAAGGCAGGUUACUGGUGCGCAACUGACACUGAGGCACGAAAGCGUGGGGAGCAAACAGG